rnacentral:rRNA from 1 species
UACAGAGGUCUCAAGCGUGGUUCGGAUUCAUGGGGCGGAAAGGGUGCGUAGGUGGCGUCGUAAGGCGGGUGUGAAAUUUCGGAGCUUAACUCCGAAACUGCAUUCGAUACUGCGGUGCUUGAGGACUGGAGAGGAGACUGGAAUUCAUGGUGUAGCAGUGAAAUGCGUAGAUAUCAUGAGGAAGACCAGUGGCGAAGGCGGGCCUCUGGACAGUUCCUGACACUGAGACACGAAGGCCAGGGGAGCAAACGGG